rnacentral:rRNA from 1 species
AGAGAUCAAAUUAUACAUAUUAGGUAAAAAGGUAGUUAAAUAUUAUAAAAUUAUUAAUUUAAUGAUUUUUUAUAUAUAGGUAAAAUUUAUAUAUAAUUAAAUAAGCCUGUAUAAAUUAAUUAUAUUGAUUCUGCGAUACCCAAGAGGGAAACUGGGAUUAGAUACCCCAUUAUUCUUGGUUGUAAAUAAACAUAAGUUUACCGGAGUACUACGAAUCUCAUACUAAAAAUUUAAAACUCAAAGAGCUUGGCGGUGUUCUAGACCUCUCAGGGGAACCUGUCUCAUAAUCGACAAUCCGCGUUACACCUAACCUUUUUUUGCAUAACAGUUUGUAUACCGUCGUCGUCAGGUAACUUUUUAGAAAAUAGAAGUUGGCAAAAAAAUUUUAUUAAAUUUAAACGUCAGAUCAAGGUGCAGCCUAUAUAAAGGUGAAGAUGGGUUACAAUUAAAAAUUAUAAUUAUGGAUAAAAUAAUGAAAUAUUUAUUUUAAUGAAGGAGGACUUGAAAGUAAAAUAAAUUUAUAUAAACUCUUUGAAUUAGGCUCUGAAACAUGC